rnacentral:sRNA from 1 species
GAGAGGGCAGUGGCGCACCAGUCUCCAUGAAGGUUGAGCUCCGAUGGCCAACGGCCAUUUCCACCUUGUGGUCUACAACUCUUCAUCCCGACUGCAUGGAGGUUGGUCUCUCUCUUCAGCUGGAUUUAGGCCACCAUCUGAGCCCCCGGGGUACGUUUUGUCUGACCCUGGCGCCAUUCGAACGGUUCUUCUACAGCAUCAGUUCUCUUUCCUGCCACCAUGUGAAGAAGGACAUGUUUGCUUCCCCUUCUGCCAUGAAUGGACAGGGUCCUGCUGUGUUGCCCAGGCUGGCCUUGAACUCCUGGCUUCAAACAGUCUUCCCACUUGGGCUCCCAAAGUGCUGGGAUUAAAGGGGCGAGUUACAGCACCAGGACCUGAAAUUAGAGACAGGGUUUCACCGUGUUAGCCAGGAUGGUCUCCAUCUUCUGACCUCGUGAUCCGCCUGCCUCGGCCUCCCAAAGUGCUGGGAUUACCGGCGUGAGCCACCAUCACCCCCCAGCAAAAGUGACACCCCUGCUCCCCAUUCACCCUCCGCUAUCAGUAAAAGCUUCCUCAGACCUCACCAGAAGCUGGACAGAUAGAUGCUGGUGCCAAGCUUGUACAGACUGCAGAACCAUGGGCCAAAUAAACCUCUUUUCUUUAUAAA